UUCUAAAUAUUGUUAUCAACGCAGGGUCCUCAUCCUCGACUUCGGCUCGCAGUACACCCACCUCGUCACCCGCCGCGUUCGGCAGUUGGGCGCCCUCUCCCUCUGCGUGUCCGGCACGGCGCCACUCUCCUCCCUCGAGGGACUCCGCCUGCGCGCCGUCGUCCUCUCUGACAGUCCCCACUCCGUAAUCUGGGCCGUCGAUGUGCUAAAUCUAACCCCUGUUUCCUUCCACCGCUGCCCCGCUGCCCUCCGUGGACGCUCGCCUCCUUGCCGACCGAUGUUCUCUGCCCGCCGUCACCCCCGGCGUCGCCUCCCACCACACCGCAUCAGCGUCCUCCACGCACGGACGCCUCCAGUGCUCGAGGCAUCACCCCUCUGGCGGUGCCCAGCACCACCACCUGCCCCUCCACCGUGGAGCUCGGCCCCAGCGGCCUCGCCUCCAGGGAUGACCUCCUCCACGCAUCCAGCUCCGCGGAGCGAGUGGGCCAACCGGCUUCACGCCACCCCUCCCCUGCUGCUCCACACCGCUGCAUCACCGCGUUGCGGCUCCGUGAUAUAGGUCCCCACCGCCCAUGCCCCCCCCCCCCCCCGACAUGUAUGCCGAUCUGCAUUAGGGGGCGCUGCACCUGCCCCGUCUUGCACACUGGAGCAGGAGAGGGCGAAGCAUGUUACAAGACGCGCCCAACAGGUUCAGUGCGAGAAGUCCUGGUUUGGGCAGCAUUGACGAGCUUUGAAGCUUGUCUUGGUGCUGGUAUUUCAGCAGGCAGAGUGAUGAGGGCUAUCAUAUACUAAUCGUAGCUAUACAGCUCCAUGUUUGGAAGCAACUCCAUGUCACUGCGAGGAGCUGCACGUGUGUGUAGAGAUGCAGAUUGAUGGUCUUGGCGCUGGCAUUUCAUAAGGCAUGUUUGCCAAAAUCUACAUCACAUUUGACAGUCCCGGGCUUCCAUGUCAAAUAUCUCUUUCCAUGCUGGUGUCAGUUGAAGAUGGCUAGAAGGGAAGUAAUCAAGUUCGACCAACCUGAAAGAUUGGAUUUGUAGGGUUUGGACUUUGGAUUCAGUUUCAUGAAAUCAUACUGCCACUAAAGUGUGAGUUGGAGUCAGUUUUAUGUAGAUGAGAAACUGUAAUAUGUUUGUAUUGAGAUAUAUUUUUCAGUGAGCUAUCCAUAUUUCUGCAUUGGAAUGAAAAUGUGAGUGCAUGGACGAU